rnacentral:lncRNA from 1 species
UCCAGUCCCCAACUCUACUAGAUCAUAUAAAAACAACAACUCUUUUGCCCAUUCACAUUUUGGCUCAGAAUCGAGGCAAUGUAGGGCAAUUGUGUCUCAAGGUAUUAUUGUAAUCGGCUUGUAUUUAUAUAAUUAUACCAUGAAUAAAUUUGGUGAAAUCGAAUGAUUCAUUUUUCUAAGACAAUGACGUCAUCUGCAAUGUUGUUUAGCAGCAGCAUCAUCCCGUCGAAUGCCAAAACCUCUUAUCAUUAAUAGCCUUGAAAUUGGCCUUCAUCUCUAAUAUCGCAACCUUU